rnacentral:rRNA from 1 species
CCUACGGGAGGCAGCAGUGGGGAAUCUUGCGCAAUGGGCGAAAGCCUGACGCAGCCAUGCCGCGUGAAUGAUGAAGGUCUUAGGAUUGUAAAAUUCUUUCACCGGGGACGAUAAUGACGGUACCCGGAGAAGAAGCCCCGGCUAACUUCGUGCCAGCAGCCGCGGUAAUACGAAGGGGGCUAGCGUUGCUCGGAAUUACUGGGCGUAAAGGGAGCGUAGGCGGAUAGUUUAGUCAGAGGUGAAAGCCCAGGGCUCAACCUUGGAAUUGCCUUUGAUACUGGCUAUCUUGAGUACGGAAGAGGUAUGUGGAACUCCGAGUGUAGAGGUGAAAUUCGUAGAUAUUCGGAAGAACACCAGUGGCGAAGGCGACAUACUGGUCCGUUACUGACGCUGAGGCUCGAAAGCGUGGGGAGCAAACAGGAUUAGAUACCCUGGUAGUCCACGCUGUAAACGAUGAGUGNUAGUGCGCAUGCANGCAUGUCGGUGACGC